UACAGAGGGUGCAAGCGUUAAUCGGAAUUACUGGGCGUAAAGCGUGCGUAGACGGUUAUGUAAGUCAGAUGUGAAAGCCCCGGGCUCAACCUGGGAAUUGCAUUUGAGACUGCAUAGCUAGGGUGCGGAAGAGGGAAGCGGAAUUCCAGGUGUAGCGGUGAAAUGCGUAGAUAUCUGGAGGAACACCGGUGGCGAAGGCGACGUCCUGGACCGGCAUUGACGCUGAGGCGCGAAAGCCAGGGGAGCAAACGGG
rnacentral:rRNA from 1 species